UCCCACGUGGUCUAGUGGCUAGGAAACCUGGCUCUCACCCAGGAGGCCCGGGUUUGAUUCCCGGCGUGGGAA
rnacentral:tRNA from 1 species